rnacentral:misc_RNA from 1 species
UGAGUUGUUGGAUGUGGGGGUUUGCUGGCCUCUUAAAUGAUUCAGCUCCCCUGAAAUGCAUUAGCAGAACAACCUGGAAUUCAUUGGCGUGAUAAUUAUCUAUGCUAUUGAAUGUGAGGGCAGUUCAGCUUUCUAACCGUCCUCGGACAAUUCAUCAUUAAUGUGACCUCAAAUCAGGUAGGACUACCCGCUGAACUUAA